rnacentral:misc_RNA from 1 species
UGGACUGUUCACUUUUUAAGUAGCACAUGCAGGCCAAUAAUUGCUACACCUUCCAGAUGCAAUGUAUUUGUCUGCCGUUCUCUUCUAACACCCAGUGGAGGAAAUACGAUUCCGGUUCUGAAAUUUGCAUCUGUGAUCUUGACAAGGUACUUUCCAUGUUGCUAUCUGCAUUUUUUUCCACUAUAUUUUAUUAUGCAUACAUUUUUCAAUUCCAGGUACAAAUAUAAAUGUAUACUUAAUAUUUUUAUGCCUAAAGUAAUCUCAACUCAACCUGCACUGGGUGAGAAAUAUAAUUAAAUGUAGCCAUUCUUAAGUGACUCUUAGUUUUUAAGAAUAACCCCUUGGAUGUUGUUACUAAGUUCCUUUGUAGCUGUUAUAAUUUCAAUAAUGAGAGGCUAAGUUUUUCAAGAUGGGUUAUCCUGUAGUUAUUAUCCUUUUUUCUCUUGACGGAUGAUUCUGCUUUAACUUAAGUAUUAUACCCUUUUAAGUGAUAAUAACUUUGCAAUAU